rnacentral:tRNA from 1 species
AUUUAGGUAGCUUAAUCUUAAAAAGCAAUUCAUUGAAAAUGAAUUUAUGCAUAUAAUGUCUUAAAUA